rnacentral:rRNA from 1 species
AUUGAAAGCUGGCGGAAUGCUUUACACAUGCAAGUCGAACGGCAGCACGGACUUCGGUCUGGUGGCGAGUGGCGAACGGGUGAGUAAUGUAUCGGAACGUGCCCAGUCGUGGGGGAUAACGUAGUGAAAAUUACGCUAAUACCGCAUACGAUCUAUGGAUGAAAGCGGGGGAUCGCAAGACCUCGCGCGAUUGGAGCGGCCGAUAUCAGAUUAGGUAGUUGGUGGGGUAAAGGCCCACCAAGGCAACGAUCUGUAGCUGGUCUGAGAGGACGACCAGCCACAAUGGAACUGAGACACGGUCCAGACUCCUACGGGAGGCAGCAGUGGGGAAUUUUGGACAAUGGGAGAAAGCCUGAUCCAGCCAUUCCGCGUGCAGGAUGAAGGCCCUCGGGUUGUAAACUGCUUUUGUACAGAACGAAAAGGUUUCUACUAAUACUAGGAGCUCAUGACGGUACUGUAAGAAUAAGCACCGGCUAACUACGUGCCAGCCGCCGCCGUAA